AAGACAUUUGAUUUUGUAAAGACAUUUUGAAGACAUUAUGAAAUAUGUGAAGAUAUUUCAGUGUGAUAGCGUAUGUGAAUUUUUGAGAGAUAUAUAAAUUUCUAUUGGCCGAAAAGAUCGUUAAAAGAAUAAUCAACAGAGACUUUUGCCUCGGGUUUUUUUUAGUGUUCAACUAGCAAUAACAGGGGGUCUCCGUAGCCACAUUGGUUGCGCGUUCGCUUAAAUAACUACUUCCACGCAACAAUCAUCAGCGAUGGAGAUAUCGAUCCACGAUCAAAAUAAGAUCGAUUCAUCCAUACAACUGCUCUGCUCUGCAAGACACAUCGGGCUGCUGCUCUAUAAAUAACUCAACAAUGAUCAAUCAACUGUCUCCGCUGUCCGGUCGAACUGGAUAAUGGAAGAUCAGGAAGAAAACUCUUACGCAUAAAUGGCUACUGUUGUGAUGUGUACCAUAUGCAAUGGUAUAGAAGGGAAUACUCUAACGCCGAAAAAUGGCAAUUGUGUAUUGUGCUAAUUAUAGAUAUGAUAAACAUGUGACAUGUACACUAUUAAAAUUCGGCUCUGUUAUUAGCAUUUUAUAAUGAGCCUAAAAUAAACAAAAGGGAUAAAAAAAACAAAAAAAAAACU